GACGAACGCUGGCGGCGUGCUUAACACAUGCAAGUCGAACGGAAAGGCCCUGCUUUUGUGGGGUGCUCGAGUGGCGAACGGGUGAGUAACACGUGAGUAACCUGCCCUUGACUUUGGGAUAACUUCAGGAAACUGGGGCUAAUACCGGAUAGGAGCCCCUGCUGCAUGGUGGGGGUUGGAAAGUUUCGGCGGUUGGGGAUGGACUCGCGGCUUAUCAGCUUGUUGGUGGGGUAGUGGCUUACCAAGGCUUUGACGGGUAGCCGGCCUGAGAGGGUGACCGGCCACAUUGGGACUGAGAUACGGCCCAGACUCCUACGGGAGGCAGCAGUGGGGAAUAUUGCACAAUGGGCGGAAGCCUGAUGCAGCAACGCCGCGUGCGGGAUGACGGCCUUCGGGUUGUAAACCGCGUUCGCCUGUGACGAAGCGUGAGUGACGGUAAUGGGUAAAGAAGCACCGGCUAACUACGUG
rnacentral:rRNA from 1 species